rnacentral:lncRNA from 1 species
CACCUCCUGAAGCUCCACCUCGCUCUGGGCUCCACCUGGCUCCUGAAGCUCCACCUCGCACUGGGCUUUCUGCCAGGUAAUAAUGUCCUCUGCUCUCUUUCUUCCCCUCCAGCACAAUCCUAUCACCGCAUAACACCCUCAGGAUUCCUCCACCAGCUACCAUCCUAUAGCCUCUCGAAUCCAGUCUGCUAAGUGAGAUAAGAUUCCGCCUGAAAUCGGGUAUGUAUCGGACCUCUCCCAAUCUCCUCACUGCACCGUCAUGUGUCCUCCAGCUGACCAUCCCAAUGCCUCUGAUCGCAC